rnacentral:rRNA from 1 species
GUCACUCUGGAUAUCUAACUUCGGCCCGUGAUCCGGGUCAGGGACAGUGCCUGAUGGGUAGUUUAACUGGGGCGGUUGCCUCCUAAAAUGUAACGGAGGCGCCCAAAGGUUCCCUCAGCCUGGUUGGCAAUCAGGUGUCGAGUGCAAGUGCACAAGGGAGCUUGACUGUGAGAGUGGCAGCUCGAGCAGGGACGAAAGUCGGGACU